UAAUUACUCCCUCUGAUGCAUAUUAUUUGUCAAAAUAUUACAUGUAUCCAUACGAUUUUUAGUUAUAGAUACAUUCAUAUUUGGACAAAUUUGAAACAAUUAAUAUGGAUCGGAGGGAGUAUUUA
rnacentral:pre_miRNA from 1 species